rnacentral:sRNA from 1 species
CCCAAGGCGUUGCCUUGGGCUAUUAUCUAUCGCACUUACAGCGCU